rnacentral:lncRNA from 1 species
CCUUUCAUUCAUUGAUAGCUUCGAGAAACUUUCAGGUUUCCUCACUGUGAAUUAUGAAUAUGAACUAUAUUAAAAUUACUGUAACCCAAUGUGCUUCAUGCACUAUCUGGCAUCCAAAGGAUCCUCUUUCGCCCAUGUUGGGGUUUUCGAAACUGGAAAGAAGACUGAUUUCUGCAGGUGCAUCUUCUCCAGCAAGUUCUUCAGCAUCCUUUCCAGAAGCAUUCGACAGCCAAGGAAGCAGGCUACGCCUCACCUACUCCUUCCUGGGCUAAAGAUCUCAGACUUAGUUGCUUAAUUUGGGAAAAAUAAAUUAAAGAAGUCUUCUAUCAUUAUACGCAACAUAGAAUAAUCUGUUUAAGAAAUUAUUUUUGAUCCUCCACAUUUUGAUGCCAAUCCCAC